GCUACUCACCUUGCCCUUGGUCGCCGUGGUGACGGAUCUACUCAUGUGUCAGGCGAUGCACUGCAAGCCAAUCCGUUUUAGUCACGUGUCUGGUUCAUUCUAGAAGCUCUUCGAACCUUUUAUAUAAUCUGCUACCCGGCGUUGAACAAGGGGAAGAUUGUGAGAGGUUUCUAGCUAAUAAGCUAUGUGCGGGAACUGCGUCCGGUAUAAUGAACGUACAGAAACAAAGCAACGUGGAGCCAGAGCCAGGCUUUGUCUAUGUCAUCGUCUCCAGCGUGGCAAAUGUUUGAAAAGUGCCUCGAAAUUGUGAAGAUCAGUCAAGAAUCCGGUAUAGACCUCAUGUAUCUGGCGGCGAUGAUCUGACUCACUGAUUCAGAUUUUAUGAAAACCAGAUGACUAUUAAACAAGUGAGAUAUGA